AACGAAUGAUGAUGACCCCUGGAAUCUUGUUAACUGCUUGCAAGGCGUGGUGGCAAGUAAAGCAACUCCUCGCUGAAUGCCCUGCCUGGCUUCAUCAGCGGUCAUGAUGAGCAGCAACCAAUUUGUGCAUGUGCGCAAUGUUAUCCUUACAUCAAGAUGUAUUUUUUUUAUCAAACAUGCUUGGGUGUGUCAUUUCUAUUAGGAAGAAAGCGCUAAGAAAGUACAAGCAACCUCUAUCGCUCGGUUGGUUUGGUGCUGGCGUUUUGCUCGAUGCAAGAUUGGAGCUAGUGGUGUUCUAUCGACUUUUUAUUUGGAGUGCCCAAUUUUCAAGUAGUUUUGUCUAGUGGAGACUUAUUCUGUGUUAACUGAAAUCUUUUGUCUCCUACAGAGUCUUCACUUCACAAUGUAUGCAUUGUUUCACUUUCAACCCAUGUGUCUGCAAACGGGCAGGUAAGGCUUGAUUGGUUGCUAGCAUCGUUUUCCUGCAUCUGGGGAGAUUUUCUCCUUGGAGCCAUGUUCAACUGAGCCAAAUCCAAAACCAUGUUGUGCAUAUUGAUUGAUUGCUAACAAUUUAUUUUUCGGCUCCGAGGGAGAAACAUAAUUUCGUGUUUGGUUGGCAACAAAGAUGAAAUUUGGUGUCGUGCACGACGUUUGGUUGCGUGCGCGCAAAGAUGUAUUUUUUCUAUAUAAUACAUUUGCUAUUUUUUCCUUUUAACUUAACAAUCUGGUGUAAUUUUGGAAAUAACAACUGUAUGUGUUGCUUCGGAUGUUGCAAUUUUACAACUAAGUAAAACUGGAUGUAAUUUUGCAAUAUAAACACAUCAUCUUUUUAUUUGUUUGAUUCUGAACUGUAUUAUUUUUUCUCCAGGGGCUGGGAUCAUGCAUUUGUUUUUGACAUCUCUAAAGUGUAGAAGCCAGAUGGUGCUGGUUUUUCACCACAUGAUGCAGCAACAAAGGAAAAGUUACAUAAGUAGCGACUUUUUUUUUUUGUCUCGCUGGAUCCGAAGAUUAUUUCCCCUACCAAUACAAAAAAAAAUGGUGCAUUUUCUAAGGCACGUACUUAUGAAACGUACACAAACUAUGUCAUUAAGGGUCUAGUGCGUUUUUGCUUUAAGUUUUAUAUAAUUUGGUUUUCAUGAUUCUCGACAGUACUUGGGAGGCUUUUUGUUCGUCCUUGUUCCCUUGAGUUUCAGCUUGAUGAUGUAAUAAUGUAAAUAUAUUUACAUCUAGCCGCAGCAUGAGGAUUGCUGUAUAUUUUUCCCUAGCUUUUGAAGGGGGUGCCGGGAAAAAUGGUCUAUUUGGUUGAUCACUCGAGCCAACUUUCAGCUACCGAGGAUUGGUAAGCUUUUCGUGGUCGGCCUUUUCUUUCACGGGCUGGAAAAACUGAGCUAUGCGCACUGGGGAA